GGCUGUGUUCCAGAGUGAGCUUGGUGUCACAGCAGCCUGGAAUGCUGACCAGAUGGCCACUGAGCACUGUAGGAGUGCCCAUGGGGUUGGAUGGCAGCUGAUCCUCCUCUGCAUUGCAGCCACACAUGGGGACAGGGACACAGAAGGACAGGGACACAGCAGGACAGCGAGAUGCUACAGUCCUCACCCGCAUUCAUACCCGGACAAGAGGGCCACGCUCCUCAGGACAGAUAAGUCUUUCCUGUACUAUAACCCACCUAGGCCCUACAGGACUGUGGAAGCUCCCCAAAGACCCCUUGCUCAGAUGCAAAAUUUUGCACUGCUUUGCUGAGACCUGCCCUGAUUACAGCUGCUUGCACCAGACCUAUUGAUUGCGGUGGGUUUUUCCACACAUGUCCAUGGAAGUGGCUGGCAGACCAGCAACCUGGUGAGCAGGGCAAUGAUGGGGAGGGCAGCACAGAGAACCAGGGCACGUGGCUGCUCCUUUCUUCCUUCCCAUCUGCCUUGCAGAUGGGGCACCCAAAUGAAGAUGGAGCCAGAGCAGGAUACACGUCUAUCCUCAUCUCACUAAUUGGUCUCCACGCUGCCGUAAGAAAAGAUAAGUCAGCCACAAACAGUACCCCUUCUAGUUUCCGAGGGUCCCUGGAAGCUCCCCAAAGUCCCCCUGCCCGCACCACAACAUUUGAUACUGCUUUGCAGAGACCUGGCCCCACGGCAGGUGCUGGCACCAGGCAUAUUGAAUGCAGGGGCCCUUUCAGCACACUGCCAUGAAAAUGGCUGGCAGACCAGCAACCCGGUGAGCAGGGCAAUGAUGGGGAGGGCAGCACAGGGAACCAGGGCACGUGGCUGCUUCUUCUUUUCUUCCUUCCCGUCUGCUUUGCAGAUGGGCACCCAGAUGAAGCCAUGAAAAUGUCUGGCAGAUGAGGAACCCUGGGCCUGCAGGGGAGGGCAGCACAGACAGCUAUUUUCCAGCCUGUGUCUUCAUCUGGACAAGGCACCAACUGAAGCUUGAGGAAAGCCCACGCCCCGCUCUGCACUGUGGUCCUACAGGAUCUGGGGAUCUGCACUGCAUGGACAGAGGCAGCUCCACAGCACCUCUCAGCUACGGUCCCCACCACGGACCUGCGCACAUCAUCUCAAGGAACCAUAUGGACCUGUCUACAAUUGACCUUUGAAGAUAAGGAACAAACAAGAAGCUAAAAAAGGAUGAAUGGGCCCAACUGAGAAAUACCAGAGACACCACAUCCAGAAGAGAAGGCAAGCACCGUAACUGAGCAUGCUCCUGAGACUGGGGAUGAAAGUUUAGGAGCAUUGAAGACUGUCAGCCUUCCUUCCUUGACCCCCAGAUGACCACUGAGAAGCUAUCACAGAAUUAACAAUAAAUUUAAAAACCUUCAAAA